AACGUAGGAGACAAACGUUAUCCGGAGUUACUGGGCGUAAAGGGCGUGUAGGUGGUUGUGUAAGUUCGGCGUGAAAUCUCUCGGCUUAACCGGGAGUGGUCGUCGGAUACUGCACGACUAGAGGACGGUAGAGGCGUGUGGAAUUCCGGGUGUAGUGGUGAAAUGCGUAGAGAUCCGGAGGAACACCAGUGGCGAAGGCGACACGCUGGGCCGUACCUGACACUGAGGCGCGACAGCAUGGGGAGCAAACAGGG
rnacentral:rRNA from 1 species